rnacentral:lncRNA from 1 species
CUGUGUUGCAAACACACUUGAGAUAAAUCCUUUCUCUCUGUUUUAAGUUCAUUUGUCUCAGUUUGCUUUUGAUUUCAGGGAUUCAAAAAAAUUAGUCAUUUUAAAAUUAGGUGAUAUAUUUCAUGCUUCAAGGGGUCCUCCACCAGUUCAUUAGCUGGGGGGGCAAAGUCACGUUUAAGGCAGCUGGGCCUGUAAUAGGAGAUGGAACCUUCCCCUCCUGGACUCGGUGGGUGCUCCACCUCCACACAGCUGUCGGGGUUCCUUCUUUGUCCUCCCUCAAUGUGCUGACCAAGAUGUUAUUGUUUGGGUGUCCUUUAUGCCAAGUUCCGUCUGUUAUCUCCACUUUCUUUCCUUUCUAGACUUUCCACUUCCUUCUAACCUUUCUGUCUACUCUCCAAGAGGUGCUUUUUCCCAUUCUCUCUUCCAGCUUCCACUAUACCUAAUGUUGGGCAAUUUCUGCAGAGAGGCUGGGAGCGAGAUGAGAUGGAACCUGUGGAACGUGGGUCUCCUACCAGGAUGAAAGUAGUUUGUUCUCUUUCCAGGACAUUGAGAGCUGAAGACAAGAAGACUCUGCUUUUUCCCAGGAGGAAAUAAGACCUGUCUUAUUUCAGAAACCUCAGAACAAAACACCUUUGCUCCGUAAACACAUCCACAUCUGUCCUUUUGUAUUUUCUAUUGCUUUGUUUGCCCUUAUUUUUCUAUUCAAUAUCCUUUGGAGAAACAUUGAACUUGAAUCUGCUGAAUUUUUUUUCACUAUUCAAAGCACAGUUUUAGUUGUGCAUUUGACCCAAAGCUACCUUUGACCUUAGGGGGCACAAGCCCUACCCAAGUCCUUGAACUUAGCCAUUGGGAGGCUUUUAGAUCUGGUGGAACUAGGGUGGAGCACCUCUCUUCAUGCUAGAGAGGUCAGGAUGUCCACGAGACCAUAAGUCAUCCCGGAACAACCACCUUCUAGCUGGAAAAUUCAAAGAGUUUGUGCAACUGGAACAAAGGAGAUCUGCCUUCUCCAGAUCACUCCGGGUGGGCAGAAUAAUCUUCCUCUGCCCCAAGAUGUCUGAGUCCCAAUCCCUGGAACUGGUGAAUAUGUCAGGUUACAAGGAAAAGGGGAAUUACGGUUGCAGAUGGAGUUAAGCUAAUCAGAAGAUGGAGAGAGGAUUUGGGAUUAUCUGGGUGGGUCCAAUGUUAUCACAAGAGUCCCUAGAAGUGAAGAGGAAGGCAGAAGAGGAGGUCUGAGAGACGCGAUGUGAGAAGGACUGACCUGCUGUUGCUUGCUGACUUUGAGGAUGGAGGAAGUGGCCACAAGCCAAGGAAUGCAGGCAGCCUGUAGCAGCUGGAAAAGAUGAGGAACAGGCUCUUCCCUUAGAGCCUCCAGAAGGACACAGCCCUGCCAGCAUCUUGAUGGUAGCUCAGUGAGACCCACUCUAGACUUAAGACAUUCAGAAUUGUAAGUAAAUCUGUAAUCGUAAAUUACAAUUAUAAUUAAUUGCAGUUACAACUGUAAUUCUUAAAUCUGUUAUUUUAAGCCAGUAAGUUCAUGGUAACUUGUUACAGCAGCAACAGGAAACUUGUACACUUGUUCUCAUUGCCCACCAGCUCCAUUACUCAGCAUCUUCUGCACCUCCCAUCACUGACCGCCUGCCUGGAUCACACUGUCCACUUCCCACUGUGCUAGCUCACUCUAGCUUGCAUUUGGUGAGCACCCAGCUAAGUGCCUGGCAUGCUCCAGGCGCUGUGGGUGUAUUCACUCACCACCUCAUUUAACCUACCUUGUGCUGGUACCAGGAUCUCCCUAGGUUGUGAGCUGGC